UUCAAUUGUCUCUGUUACACAGUAGUAGUGACAUUGAAUUUACCUGUCAGUUUAUUCAGUAAUUCUCAGUUUAGGUGGCAAAGUUAAUUGUUUAGCAUGAGACCAGAAUAAGAAAUUGGACACAAAUGAGAUUAAUACUUUUUUAAGAGAUUUACCAGGUCUAAGUGCACUUUUUGGCAGGUUGAAGAGAUUGUUUAUUAAGCAAUUUAAACUUGACCUAGUUAGUCUGAAGUCGGAUUUGGAAGGUUUCCAACAGACCGUGUCAUGAUAUUGUAUAAGCUCAUCAGUUCAAGCAUCCUGCAUAAUGAACCUUUAACGUGUUUACAUUUCUGGUGCACAAUUACACACAUUUGAGAUUACUUUUCUGUAUCCAGAAUCUCAGUUUUCUAGUAUUAUUACUGUUUUUCGGUAACAAUAGAAAGGAAUAACUUUUCUUAGUACUCAACAAAUUUUUUGAUUUUUCUCUCUCAAAACUUACGAAUCUUUAAUAUGUACCUAGCUGUUAGCAUUGAAUACUCAAAUUCACUCAUACCUGAGGCUAUAUUCAUCAACUAUUUGUCCAAAAGGUUUACCAGUAUAAAAUUUCAAUCUUUGACAUGAAGGAAAUAAUCUCCACUAAAGGGAGCAAGGGUUUGUGGUAGGGAGGUGAUGUGGAAAAUUCAUUGUUAUUUCAUAAGUCAUUGUACAGUUCAUAAAUUUGUAUAUAUAUAUAAAUACUAGUACAUCGAUAAUAUUUAUCAUACAGUUUUUUCCCAGCCUAACCCAAUCAUGUGUAACGUCUAGCUGAAACCAGUAGGAUAUUAAUGACAUAAUAUAAAUCCAUGUAAAGAUCUGGUUGUACAAUGUUUUUUGACUGCUUUUAUUUUGGUUUUGAAAUAUUAUCAGGAGCUUUUUUGAGUACAGCAUGUGUGCUAGAAACCUUAGCAGAUUGCAAAACUGUUGAGAUUUACUUGUUUACAUGUUUGUAGGUUAUGAAGUCAAUACAUAGCAUAUUACGUUUUUGUUUUACAAAGUUCUGUAUUGGUUUUGGUUAUGUUUUGACAAAAUGAAAUGAAAUAAAAUGUGAUGAAAAUCAA
rnacentral:misc_RNA from 1 species